GACGAACCGAGCGAACGUUAUUCGGAAUCACUGGGCUUAAAGGGUGCGUAGGCGGGCCCGUCAGUCAGGGGUGAAAUCCCACGGCCCAACCGUGGAAGUGCCUCUGAUACUGCGGGCCUGGAGGGGGAUAGGGGCGUGCGGAACUUCCGGUGGAGCGGUGAAAUGCGUAGAUAUCGUCUGGAACGCCAAAGGUGAAAACAGACUGCUGGGAGUGUGCUGACGCUGAGACACGAAAGCCAGGGGAGCAAACGGG
rnacentral:rRNA from 1 species